CUCAUUUUUCGAACCCCCCUCCCCACCCCACAUCGAAGGACUCCCAGCAAUGCGAAAUCCAGUCUUGAGGAAGAUCAUAAUAUGGCUGACUUAUCUAAUGGAGGCACUACCAGCUCAACAUCAAUUCCCUUCGGAGGAAAAAUCGGAGUUCCAACGAUUGGCUGAGGGUUCAACUUAUGUUGACAAAACUCUACUCAUUGAGGAAGUACUAGAGCAUCCCAGGGAUGCAAGACUCAUCAUGGCUCCUUCAGGCUUUGGAAAAUCCCUGCACUUGUCCAUGUUACGAGAUUUCUUCCAGAUUCCGUUGAAUGAAAAUGGGACUGAAAUACCGAAAGAACAGACAAGCUCUUUCAAAUUUUCCACAGUAAAAAAAAUCGGACGCUCAAAGUUUUUUGGUGAAUUUGGGACGAGAGGUGUGGUUUUCUUGGACCUUAAUAUACUAAGUGACUUCAAUAAUUUUACUGAGUACCUAGUCAAGUUCCGCAGAGUCAUACAGAAGGCUUUUGAACAGCACAUGUAUCUGAUUCGCGAUCCAAGAUCAGAGCUUGACGCGUAUUUGAACCGACAUAUUUUCGAACGCUGCGGAAUACUGGACCCUACACUGCCCGUUAACUGCUCAACCCUUGAGGGCUGCGGAUCAGAUUUACCGCAAAUGGUGAAGAGUCAUGUCGAUAAAGGGGUUCUGCUUUUGAUCGAUGCUGUUUCCACCCCUUUUGAACGGAUACUUGAUAACCGAAAUAAGGGUGUGUGGCCAGUUGCUUACACGCGGAAGCACCCCAUUGGACAAGAUGAUGAUUUAGACCGCAUUAUCGGUUCCCUUCAACUGUUUCUCUCCUCAGUGGUUAAAGGUAACCAUGGAGUAUGGCGAAGUUACCUGACCGCAAUAACUGGUUUUGAUGUACCUUAUAAUGAGUCCAUUAUUAACGUUGAAUUUGCAUCAAUUUUUACGUCAAGAAAGCUAGCCACUGGAUAUGGCUUUACUCAAGAGGACCUGGAAGAAUUGAUCAGCACUUCUGGGAUGAGCGCUGAACAAAAGUCCAAUUUACAAGAUUACUUAGAGGGGUAUUCUAUAUUUCAGAAAAAUGAGUCUGAGAUUGUUGGACCUAUUUAUUGUCCAGGUCAUGUUACAAGUAUUUAGCCGAGGAUAGAGGAAAACCUUUAGGUACACCUAUUAUUGCUGUCAACUAUUCUUCAUUGCGAUCACUGACUCCGUUUAAAAACUUGUUGUCCCCUAAGCUUUUCGGAAAUCAAAUUAUCAAAAGUUUGAAACCAGAUUUCGAAAUAGAUAUUAAGAACAACUCAAGGAUUCAAUUUGAAAAUUGGUUGCGUCUUCGAGAGGCAGAACAGACAGGGGCUAUAAAACAUUUCAAGAAGAAUCAGAAUAUCUUCUUACUCUACCUCUUAGAGCAUGGUUAUUUCACAGGCCACUACAUUGGUAAAAAGCUGUCGAUUAAAAUCUCAAACAAGAUCGCAAGACUAUCUUUGCGCAACGCAAUCACCAAAAUUGAAUAUUAUCAGGAAUAUCUAGGAUGUUCCGACACUGCAAUUAAAGAAUUUAAAGACAGAAUCGACAGUUUUGAUGGUACGCAAAAUACCCUAAAUAAAAUAUUAGAAUCUAUAGAGAAAACUUUUUGGCGAGGUUUCGUAGUAAAACCCCCGAAGCCGGAGCUUGAAAUUUCCGCUCCGAUUUAUACUUUUUUAGUAAGAUCAAGUGCCAAUGAACGCAUAGCAGAUUACGAUGAUAUUUUCUUGCCUAGGCCAAAAAUUUGUACAGAAGACGCAAAAAACAAUUCAAUCUUCAAGCGUAGAGACUGGGUUUGAUGUUGUUCUUGUGAAACGAAAAAAUGACUUUGGAAUCUUGCUCGGAACUGAAUUUGAUAAAAGACCUAGUACAUAUUAUGCUAGUGAAGAUAUUUCGUCAGCUCCACAAAUUUUACAACAAAUGAUAGAUUUGCAAUACCACACAUAUUUUGCUAAAAAGAUGUUGAAGAACAGAGCACUUAUUAGUAUUCAUAUAAAUCUAACGCAUGUUUCAUGUUGCGCACUAUACAAUAGUUACGAUGUCAAUAAUAAAUUAUGCGUGGAAAAGAUGGUUAGUUAGCUCAUAAGGUGUUCAAUUUAUUAGGAUCAUUAAUACUUUUUUGAUGAUCUUUCUUACCUGUUUUUUAUAUUUAACAAAAAAUGAAUUUUUAAAAAAAGUAGUUGAUCUACUAUGAGGAGGAAGAUCUCGUGUAGAAUAGGAUAUCUACUCAAAUCUUUGGGGUAAAAAGUAAGUAACUUUUUAGUACGCUUUGGGUGUUUUUUCUUGCAAGAAUUGAAAUUAAGAACCUGAUCUUUAGAAAAUAUUAAGUAACUGCUUAAAAAAUUCUUUCCCAUAAUUUUGAAAGCAAUUCCUACAAGAAAAAUACUGAAAAAUUUUUCAAAAAACAUUUUGCAAAAAAUUUUAGACUAUUUGGAAAUAUUUCAAGGAACUUUUUAAAUACGUCUGGUCAAGAAGCACUGGCUAGAAGUACUCGUCCAAAAUGAUUUUCUUAUACAGAAGAUGGGUCUCACCUCAAAAAGAUAUACUCUUCCAGACUUUUGAACUCGCAAACACUCCAAAGUAGGUGGAAUCCUUUUAUAUGAAUAAAUUAAAAUAAUCAACCGUCAUAAAAUUAAGGCGCUGAGUGCAGGAAAGGCUGCACUUCUCAGUUGCCGUGUUCCAGAAUCUCUGACGCUGAUUUAUGUCUUAGAGCAGAAUCUAAUGGGUGAUUUUUUCAAAAAAAUUUCUACAGAACAUUGUAGAAAUAGACUCACUGGCUCUCACCACUAUUUUACAAGUCCGGCCGCAAUGCCGAGCUCCUUUCUUCUUCUUAUUCUUCCUCAUUUUAUUUCGAGCGAAGAGGGGAAGGGGGGCAUGAACCCCUCAUACGCCCCCUGCCAUUGAAACGCCGAAGAGUUCUAUCUAGCAAAAAAACAUAUGGGGCCUUUUAAAUGAAGCAUAUUCAAUACCCUAAGUUCGUUGAUUGUGCUGCUAGUAGUAAAAGAGGACAGGGCUUUUGGGAAGGAUGUAAGAAGAUAAAAUAUACGCCAGUAAAAGUGCCGAAAACCCCUGAUUUCGACCACAGCAUCCCCUUUAUUUUUCGUCCCACCACGCCACUGCACCCUGCCGCUCACCCCGCCCGCCCUCCGAUGAAGCUGCAAAUACGCGUAUCUCCUCGGCAUUUAUCAAAAUCUUCAUCCCUAUUUUGCUUUAACUAUCGCUCGACAUUGUUACGGAAUAUUCUUCAUGCGUAGAUGAAAAAUCUGGAAAGUUUCCAAGAAAUAGCGUGGAGUAUUCCCAUUUAAAAAAUCAAUUAUGACAGGAAGUCUACAAUGUCGCAACCGAGAUAAGCUAAACUACGCGAUAAAUUUAAUUAAAAAGGAAAUACGUUUGAAGCCGAGGGGUUACAUUAAUUGAAUCUUCUGAACUUUAAAUUAGAACGUGGAGGCCAAAAAAUGAACUCUUGUGCUCAUAAUUUUCACAAAGCACACCCUGAAAUGAGUUUUCUCAGAAAUGCCUAUUCUAAUAUUCCUUCACUAAAGACACCCAAUCUUCUACUUGUAAUGCCUUCUCUAAAUGGAUGGCGAGACUAGACAAAUAUGCGCACCGCAGUUGGAAUACUGCUAAUUUCUUGGCAUAUUUAAUUUUUUCUUAAAAGACAGACGGAUCAUUUUUCGACCAAAGUACUUGCAAUUUUCUUCGCUGUAUCACAAUGUCAUGCGUGAAAUAUCAAAUAUUAUGCUCUUGAAAAGAUGAAACAUACCGCGAAAUUUGAGAUCCUCACGAUCGAAUUUUUCGGAGACUCAUAUGAGGGGCUUGGACGACAAGGCGCAUCAGUGCAGUUUUUGAUAUUUUGAGAAAUACGCCUUUGAAGUUUCUAAAUUUCAUGGAUCCUUAUGGCGGGAAGUAAGUUCAUACUGACUUUUUAAUGCUAAAAAAUUGGAAUAUGGGGUCGAAUUUUUCAAAAAAUAUGCAUUAAGACUAAUUUUACUUGAAAUCAUUAAUAUUUUUUUUUUUAAAUUUCAAUGUUUUCAAAAACUGCACCCAUGCGCCUUGUCCCCCAAAUCCCUCAUUUGUGAUGUUACACUGUUUCAAUCCAAUGCUAGUAUAUUAAAGAGGAAUAACAAACAUUGAAAUCUAAAAUCCUGAGUUCAAGACGAACUUUUUUUUUGCAAAGUGGUUUCAUCCCUAAGCCGCCUCGCGGCUGAACCCAAGGGGAGUCCUUAACGGAUCACUUUUGCAUUUCGGAAAGCUUCAGAUUUUAUUUCAAUGCGACCAAGCGGGGAUAGUUGCCCGGAAUCAAACUCACUAACCUGGUGAAAACAGAUCAAUCUAUUUAUUACAUUGGCAACAUGCUAAACACACUAACAGCUUCGAGGCUUCAAAGAUUCAAUUUUCUCAAAUGAACUUGAUUGAUAAUUCUCUUCGAUCUAAUCUCCAUAUUUUAUGGCCCUCUCCUCUUAAUCCCAUG
rnacentral:lncRNA from 1 species